rnacentral:misc_RNA from 1 species
GUGAAUCAUCGAAUCUUUGAACGCAAAUUGCGCUUCCUGGUAUUCCGGGAAGUAUGCCUGUUUGAGGGUCAGUAUUAACAAAAAAUCGGAUUGGUUGGUAAUUGUGAUGUUUCCGGAGUUUGGGCUUAUCUUAACUUUUUGGGUUAAGAGGCUUAAAAUUGACUUUUUUUGCGCAUUGUAGAUGGACAUAAAUGUUUUUUUUUAUGGGUAUGUCUUAAUGCUCAAAAUUCUAUUAGAUGCGGGCAGAUAG